UACGUAGGGGGCAAGCGUUGUUCGGAAUUACUGGGCGUAAAGCGCGCGUAGGCGGUGAUCUUUGUCAGAGGUGAAAUCCCGAGGCUCAACUUCGGAAUUGCCUUUGAAACGGGAUCGCUUGAGUCCGAGAGAGGAUGGCGGAAUUCCUAGUGUAGAGGUGAAAUUCGUAGAUAUUAGGAAGAACACCGGUGGCGAAGGCGGCCAUCUGGCUCGGUACUGACGCUCAGGCGCGAAAGCGUGGGGAGCAAACAGG
rnacentral:rRNA from 1 species